AAAAUUUUAAGUUAAAUUAAACUCUUAGCCUUCAAAGCUUAAAAUAUAAUUAUUAUUAUAAAUUUUA
rnacentral:tRNA from 1 species